UGCAGAACAAGCCACACCCCAGCCCCAGGCAGCUUUUCCCGGCCUAGGAGCACAGCCUGAGAGUCAGUUUCUCCAGGAUCAGAAACGUCCUGCUCCUUCACCAGACCCGAAGGCAGAGGAGAGGUUCCUGAGAUGGAGGCUGCGGUCGCCGCUCUGCCUAGGAUGCCUCAACUCUUCUCGGAAGAACACUCUGUCAAACCCUUAUUCACCCUGCGAAGCCCAACGUGACUAUCACUUCCUCUGCAGACCUCUCAGGCAAGCGCUGGAAGGAGCCAGGCACUGGCACUCGUGCCCAGGACCCCCACCCAGGGAACACCCCUCCAGUGGAGCGCGGAGGCAAAAUGUGCAGCGCGGAGCCCACGUGCACCCGACGCUUGGCAGGCGCCGAGGAAUCAGGGAGGCCACGAGUGACAUCAUCCGCUGCUGUUUACAGCUGAGCAAACACGCCGGGCUCAGCGAGGUGGCACGGUUGCCCAAGGUCACACAGCCCGGAGGAGCAGGGGGCCCACACCGGGGCGAUGCGACCUAGGGGCUAACCGGUGGAGGCUCCGACCGCCUGCCUGCCCCGCCCCGCGCACCCCGCCCACCCCCGUGGGCCUCGGGCGCCCGAAGCCACGUGAAGGCAGCCGAGGCUGCAGGAGCAGCGCAGGGCUCGUCACGGAAGGGGUUAACGCUCCCGCCGCAUUGGGCCGGCCUCCGUGGGAAGCAGCCAAUGGGCGCGUGGGGCGAAGAGGGUCUCGCACUGGAGCCUGGGUUGGCCUUGAACUUGUGGCGAUCCUCCUGCCUCAGCCCCCCCAAGUGCAGGAUGACUGGCAUGUGCCACCUCGCCUGGCUUCAAGCUCAGCUGUUAAAUGGGAAGAACAGAAGCUGCCCCUGGGCUGCGACAUCAGGCCGACCAGGUGCUUUUGGGGAGAGUGCCAUCUGGGGCACCCCAGGGAACAGCGGGUGCCACAAGGCACCUGCCCAGGGCUCCAUUUAGUGUUUUGGAGACGGAUUCCAGGUGUCCCGUUUGGGUGGGGGUGGGGAUGGAGCGCCUCGGGUAUAACACGCACAGGAGGGACCCUCCUGGUGACAGAAGUGGUCUGGACUUUGGCUGGGGUGAGGGUUGCCCUGGCCAGGAUCCCCUACAGGAAGCCACAUCCAGGCAGAAGUAAAGCAGAGGAGUCAGAGAGGUGGGGGUGGGUCAGUGCCACAUCCUGGAGUUGAGGGUGGCACUGCACUGCCAUGCACUGCAUCAUUUCUGACAGCCACAUGUGCAUCUACAGUGGUCUCCGGAAAACUUUCAGGCCAGGUGUGCUGAUGCACACUUGUAAUCCAAGCACUCAGGAGGCUGAGGCAGGAGGAUCAUUGUGAGUUCCAGCUGGAGCUACAUAGCAAGACCCUGUCUACAAAAAUAACAAAAAUAUGUACAAACAUAAGGUAUGACAUAAACUCCACAUAGCUCUUUUUUUUUUUUUUCUGGAACCAGGGCUCGAACUCAGGUCCUUGUGGUUGCAAGGCAGGCGGCGGAACCACUGAACUAAAUCCCUGGCCCCACAUAGCUCUUACACAACCAUAAACCAAGGCAAAUUGAUCAGUCAAAUGCAAAAUCAAGCUGGGGAUGUAGCUCAGUGGUGCCGUGCCUGCCUGGCAAGCACACAGUUCUGAGUUCGAUCCCUAGUACCGAAAAAAAAAGCGAACUCAAUUCAAAUCAGAGUAAUCACAUGUGACAUGUUACUUCUUUUGUUUGAAACCCUGUCACUGCCCACAGUGUAGAUAUGGCCCAGCUGCCAGGGUGCUCUGAGUUGGUGAGAGAGUGGCUGGCCUUACACACACACACACGUGCACACGCAUACACACACACAGAGCAGGUGAUUUUUCCUCAGAAUACAUAAAGAAUUCCUACCAAUUAAUAAGAAAAAGGCAGACUUCUCGAGAAAAAUAGGGGGGAAACUUGAAUUAGUAAGUCUGGUGAUGCACCCCUGUCAUCCCAGCACUCAGGAGGCUGAGGCAGGAGGAUUGUAGUGAGUUUGAGGCCAGCCUGGGCUACAAAGUGAGACCCUGUCUCAAAACCAAACAGUUCUCCACAAGCAGGAUAUCCACAUGGUGCACCCCUGUGACCCCAGCACUCAGGAGGCUGAGGCAGGAGGAUCACAAGUGCAAGUUCAGCCUGGUAACUUAGUGACUUGGUGAGACUCUGUCUCAAAAUAAAAAAAAGGAAUGGGGAUGGGCCUCAGGGUGGGGGCCCACAGAAACCAAACAAGAAACCAGAAGUGAGCGGGGACAGUCACAUUGGCACUAUUCAGGGGAGUCCUACAUGAGAAGGAAUCAAUCCCAGUCCCUCUCCAUGGGACAGGCGAUAAACAAAGGUGGCUGGUCAGCUUUGAGAACAAAUCUCACAGUCAUAAUCCAAAGGAUUUCAUUUACCCGAGGGACAAAAGGAGCCAAGACAGUCGGGGUGUGAGAGAUCAGGGAGGGGUCGCCUGCCACCAGGCAGGAGGGGUGGUGCUCCAGGGCCCAAACGCCUGAGGUCAGGAGUCCCUGGAAACAGCUCUGUCCACAAGGCUCUGGGCCCCACUUCGAGCAGAUGUGGAGUGUGCCCUGGGGGCCCAGGUGUGGGGUGAGGGGAGCAGAAGGGAGGGCCAGGUCCCCGGUGCUCUUUCCCUGCCCAGCACUUGUAAUGUGGGCCUGACCCAGGCUUUUUCUGCCGCAGCCCCUGGGCCCGGCCUCUUCCCACACCAGAGCCUGCUGCCCACACUCAGGGUUCUCAGGGGAGCUGGAGGAAAGGCCUCAUCCACAUCCUGAGGCCAGGGCGGUAGGUGCCCAGCGAGAGUGGCUCUGGGGAACACAGGGUGCCUGGUGCCUUAGGCACCUUCCCUCCCUGGACUCAGUACCUGACGCCACAGUGUAAAGGAGAGAUUUAUAGGGGCCGGGGAUUUAGCUCAGUGGUUUUGCUGCCUGCUGCGCAAGCGCAAGGACCGGAGUUCAGUCCCCCGUACCAAAAAAAAAAAAAAAAAAAAAGAAGAGGUUUAUUUUCGCUUGAGGUUUAUUUUCGCUUAUAGUUUCAGUCUGUGGGUGGCCAGUUCCAAGGCAGAGCAGCAGGGCAGAAGGGCCUGGUGGAGGACACAUGCUCACUUCCUGGCGGCCAGGAAGCAGGGAGAGAAGGGAGGAGCAGGGAGAACAGCCUCUUCCAGGCCACUCCCCCAGUGGCCACCUCCGCGGAGGCCCCACCUCCUUCACAGUAUACUCGGCUAUGACCUCAGGCAUGCAGGAAUCCAUCGAUGAGUCCAGCUCCAUUGAUCCCAUCCGCUUGCACCUUACACACACAGGAGAAUUCUGGGGGACACUUCAGAUCCAAAUGUAACACCCAAUUGGCCCCUGCUGCUGACCCCAGACAACCUCAGGAAAGUUCAGCUCAAGCCACGGUUUGGAGACCUGACUGUAGGUGUUGGACCCCCUACCCCUGCUGUGGGACAUGCGAAGGUGGGUGGGUCACUUCCUGCUCCUAAAAAGUGGCCACAACCCCAGGCAGCUGGCAGGGACCAACAUGUCACUGGCAUCCGGCACAGGCCGACUGGAUGGAUGCUGAGUUCUGGAGGGGAUGCUGUGUGGGCGGCCAGCUCAGUUACAAGCUUUAGAGAAAACAGGACUCAUACUAGAAAUAAGCUCAAAUACCUGGGUGUGGAAGGACAUGCCUAUAAUCCUAGCACUCAGGAGGCUGAGGCAGGAGAGUCGGUGUGAGUUCAAGACCAGCCAGGCUCCACAGCGAGGCCUUGUCUCAGAAAAAGAAAACGCUAAGAAAAAUAAAACUGGCAUUUGUAUGUAUUCGCAUUUUACUAUUCCUUGUAUGUUUUGUCUAUAAACCUGAAAUUUUUCCUUUAACCUAAUGACCUUUAUUUAGUAUUUAUGCUUCAGUUCUGUUAACAAAUUAUCUAUUUCAUUUGUCCAAAAAAGUAAUUUCUAUUUUGAAAGAUAUUUUCACAGAUACCAUUCUAAGAUGACAAUUUUUUCUUUUAUUACUUAUUAGAUGCAGUUCCAUUGUCUUCUGACUUGC
rnacentral:lncRNA from 1 species